rnacentral:rRNA from 1 species
GAUGAACGCUGGCGGCGUGCCUAAUACAUGCAAGUCGAGCGAACAGAUGAGGAGCUUGCUCCUCUGACGUUAGCGGCGGACGGGUGAGUAACACGUGGAUAACCUACCUAUAAGACUGGGAUAACUUCGGGAAACCGGAGCUAAUACCGGAUAAUAUAUUGAACCGCAUGGUUCAAUAGUGAAAGACGGUUUUGCUGUCACUUAUAGAUGGAUCCGCGCCGCAUUAGCUAGUUGGUAAGGUAACGGCUUACCAAGGCAACGAUGCGUAGCCGACCUGAGAGGGUGAUCGGCCACACUGGAACUGAGAAACGGUCCAGACUCCUAGGGGAGGCAGAAGUAGGGAAUCUUCCGCAAUGGGCGAAAGCCUGAAGGAGCAACGCCGCGUGAGUGAUGAAGGUCUUCGGAUCGUAAAACUCUGUUAUUAGGGAAGAACAAAUGUGUAAGUAACUAUGCACGUCUUGACGGUACCUAAUCAGAAAGCCACGGCUAACUACGUG